GGUGGAGAGCGGAAAAUAUUUCUCCGGCAAGGUUUCAUGCAUGUUGAACAGUAGCUCGUCCAUUUUCAGGGAAAGCUGUGGGGACUGGACAAUUGCAUGGAGUGGCAGCACGUGCACCUAUUCUAGAUAGGUCCAUCAGGGU